rnacentral:lncRNA from 1 species
CACCAACAUGUCUCUCCUUAUGAUUAAAUUAAUUAGGGAACGUCCUCUAAUUAAUUACUAAUUAACAAAUUGCCAAGGAACGUCCUUGGGCCAUAGGCAUCAAAACAAUUGUCAAUUGCAUAAAGAAAUAGAGAGAUCCAAUCCUAGCUACCCAAACGUAUGGAGAUAACGCUAGAUCAUGCAAUUCCUUGGUUUUUACGCCAAGUGUUCUAAGGUCAGAAUAUUUCCAGCAAUUACGGACUAAAAAUAAUCCCAACUAACAAUCAAUUAACUUUGCAAUUAAAAUCAAGUGGCCAAUUUGAUCAAAACAACAAAGUAAUCAUGUAAUUAAAGUAUCAAUUGCAUAAAUAUUG